rnacentral:lncRNA from 1 species
CGUCUCUGGUCCUCAGCACAGGCUACCUUCUGUUACACUUUUUUCUGCUUUUCUCCCCCUGCAACGUCCAAAAGAAAAGAGGUGCCUCAUUUUACUGAAAGCAACUUUCCCCACAUUGGAGAACCAGAUCCCCAGCCCUUUUCGCCCCGGCAUCACCUUGGUGAAACUUCAAGAAUGUGCCCAUACACAAAAGAGAAUUUGCUCCUCCUUCUGGGAAACUGCUUCCUCCGGGCCCCAUCGGGUUUGCCAGAACCAGCUGGAAAGUUCUGCAAUCUUAACUACUUCAGGACAUCAGAUCUGGUCAAGGUCCAGGCUAUAAGGUCUGGCUUUCAAAGCUGUCGGGAUGAGCCUGCUGGACCUGUCUGGGAAGCUUGUUAAACUGCACCGAUGAACUCAUCCCUUCCCCAAAUCGUGCUGAUGACCUCAUCAUCUGCAGCUGUGUGCUCUGAGCUCACCCACCCUUCAGCUCCCAGGGGAUCACAUCUGGCGGGGGAGCCCUGGUACCUGGGGCGGGCACAUCUGGAGGUAACUCCCCUUGGAAAUGGAGGGCUUUGUGACCUCCUUUCACUCUUACCGACCACGCAGCCAAGUAGCAAAGGGGCUCUCAGCAAU